UCAGGAUGAACGCUAGCUACAGGCUUAACACAUGCAAGUCGAGGGGCAUCAGGAAGAAAGCUUGCUUUCUUUGCUGGCGACCGGCGCACGGGUGAGUAACACGUAUCCAACCUGCCCUUUGCUCGGGGAUAGCCUUUCGGAAGAAAGAUUAAUACCCGAUAGCAUAAUGAUUCCGCAUGGUUUCAUUAUUAAAGGAUUCCGGUAAAGGAUGGGGAUGCGUUCCAUUAGGUUGUUGGUGAGGUAACGGCUCACCAAGCCUUCGAUGGAUAGGGGUUCUGAGAGGAAGGUCCCCCACAUUGGAACUGAGACACGGUCCAAACUCCUACGGGAGGCAGCAGUGAGGAAUAUUGGUCAAUGGGCGCUAGCCUGAACCAGCCAAGUAGCGUGAAGGAUGAAGGCUCUAUGGGUCGUAAACUUCUUUUAUAUAAGAAUAAAGUGCAGUAUGUAUACUGUUUUGUAUGUAUUAUAUGAAUAAGGAUCGGCUAACUCCGUGCCAGCAGCCGCGGUAAUACGGAGGAUCCGAGCGUUAUCCGGAUUUAUUGGGUUUAAAGGGAGCGUAGGUGGACUGGUAAGUCAGUUGUGAAAGUUUGCGGCUCAACCGUAAAAUUGCAGUUGAUACUGUCAGUCUUGAGUACAGUAGAGGUGGGCGGAAUUCGUGGUGUAGCGGUGAAAUGCUUAGAUAUCACGAAGAACUCCGAUUGCGAAGGCAGCUCACUGGACUGCAACUGACACUGAUGCUCGAAAGUGUGGGUAUCAAACAGGAUUAGAUGCCCUGGUAGUCCACACAG
rnacentral:rRNA from 1 species